rnacentral:tRNA from 1 species
GCGGGCGUGGCGAAACUGGUAUACGCACAAGACUUAAAAUCUUGGGUCCGAUAGGACGUGCGGGUUCGAUCCCCGCCGCCCGCACCA